CAGGACUGCUUGCUUCUGCUGAUCUUAAGUUUCCUGGCAAGAGAUGUCCUGCCCAUCCUCUGGCUGGCUGCAGGAGCUGCUGUUCACCUGCUUUCCUAGGAACGCUGACAUGUUACACAUGACUUCUGCUGGAAGACCUCUGUGACAUAUCGAAGUCAUCUGGAUGGGCUGCCUGAAAGAAUGGGUGAGGAGGACACUCACAGACUCAGGCUUUGCCAGAUCUAUUUCCACCCAAGUCUCUUCACAGUCUUUUUCUGAUUCAUCUGGGAGGCUUCCUUAUCUGUGCAUUGCUCGGGAAAGCAACGUCGUAUAAAAGGGAACAAGGAACAGCCAAUUAAAAAAAGUGGGUUGUUUCAUCCUCUUAAGGAGGUGCUACAGAACUGGGGAAGCUCUGCCUGUGAUUUAUUAGUUCCGUUUGCUCUUUGAGUUUUCACAUGCAGUUGAUAUGUUUUUCAUGUUUGCAAAGGAAAAAAAAAUCAUGUAUUUCCUCAUAUUUUGUAUAUUGAGCUUUCUUUUUCAAAGAUAUUCAAGUGUACAGAGUAAUUGGCUUGAGUUACAAUGAACCAAACAAGCCACCCAAAGCUCUUUUUAGCUAACAAAUGCUGCUGCUUAAAGUCAUCUGUGGAAAAAAUAAUAAUAAAAAAAAUCCUGCAACU
rnacentral:lncRNA from 7 species